AAAUGAGCUUGGUGUGCUCCAGGAAAAGCAAGAAGCCAAGAAAGCCUGGACUGCAGAGUGUUUGGGAGUCAGUAAGAGGAGGCAGAGCCUGAGAAGCAGGCAGGGUACCUUGUGCAGGACCUUAAAGCAUACGGGUUUGCAGGGAAGACAGUGAAGUAAUGCUACUCCGUUUCCUGGAUCCUCUAUCACUAUAUCAGAUGGAGUCUUGCUCUGUCCCCAGGCUGGAGUGCCCUGGCGCGAUCUCAACUCACUACAACCUCUGCCUCCCGGGUUCAAGAAAUCCUCUUACCACAGCCUCCUGAGUAGCUGAGAUUACAGGCAUGCAUCACCAUGCCAGGCUAAUUUUUCUAUUUUUGGUACAAAUGGGGUUUCACCAUGUUGGCCAGGCUUGUCUCGAAUUCCUGGCCUCAAGUGAUUUAGCCUCGCGGCGUCCCACAGUGCUGGGAUUACAGGCAGGAGCCACCACACCUGGCCUAGGGCACGUCCUUUCUAUAUAAAUUUUAGAAUGAGCUUAUCUAUAUCUACAAAAAAGCCUUGCUGAGAUUUUAAUAGGAAUUGCCUUAA